CCUACGGGUGGCAGCAGUGAGGAAUAUUGGUCAAUGGACGAGAGUCUGAACCAGCCAAGUAGCGUGAAGGAUGACUGCCCUAUGGGUUGUAAACUUCUUUUAUAUGGGAAUAAAAUGUUCCACGUGUGGGAUUUUGUAUGUACCAUAUGAAUAAGGAUCGGCUAACUCCGUGCCAGCAGCCGCGGUAAUACGGAGGAUCCGAGCGUUAUCCGGAUUUAUUGGGUUUAAAGGGAGCGUAGGUGGAUUGUUAAGUCAGUUGUGAAAGUUUGCGGCUCAACCGUAAAAUUGCAGUUGAAACGGGCAGUCUUGAGUACAGUAGAGGUGGGCGGAAUUCGUGGUGUAGCGGUGAAAUGCUUAGAUAUCACGAAGAACUCCGAUUGCGAAGGCAGUUCACUGGACUGCAACUGACACUGAGGCUCGAAAGUGUGGGUAUCAAACAGGAUUAGAUACCCGAGUAGUC
rnacentral:rRNA from 1 species